rnacentral:rRNA from 1 species
AGAGCGAACGCUGGCGGCAGGCUUAACACAUGCAAGUCGAGCGGGCGUAGCAAUACGUCAGCGGCAGACGGGUGAGUAACGCGUGGGAACAUACCUUUUGGUUCGGAACAACACAGGGAAACUUGUGCUAAUACCGGAUAAGCCCUUACGGGGAAAGAUUUAUCGCCGAAAGAUUGGCCCGCGUCUGAUUAGCUAGUUGGUGAGGUAACGGCUCACCAAGGCGACGAUCAGUAGCUGGUCUGAGAGGAUGACCAGCCAGACUGGGACUGAGAACGGCCCAGACUCCUACGGGAGGCAGCAGUAGGGAAUUUUCCACAAUGGGCGAAAGCCUGAUGGAGCAACGCCGCGUGCAGGAUGAAUGCCUUCGGGUUGUAAACUGCUUUUAUAUGUGACGAUUAUGACGGUAGCAUAUGAAUAAGGAUCGGCUAACUCCGUGCCAGCAGCCGC